rnacentral:rRNA from 1 species
GUGGUCAAGCUAAUAAGGGCUUGCGGAGGAUACCUAGGCACACAGAGGCGAAGAAGGACGUGGUUACCAACGAAAAGCUCCGGGGAGUUGGAAGCAAGCAUUGAGCCGGAGGUGUCCGAAUGGGGGAACCCUAAAAACUGCCUAUUGAAUAUAUAGAUAGGUAAGAGCGAACCGGGCGAACUGAAACAUCUUAGUAGCCCGAGGAAAAGAAAUCAAACGAGAUUCUCCAAGUAGUGGUGAGCGAACGGGGAAGAGCCUAAACCAACAAGCUUGCUUGUUGGGGUAGUGGGACAGCAUGAUGCGAAUCGUAGAGUUAGACGAAGCAUUGAAAAGAUGCACCAGAGAAAGUGAAAGUCUUGUAGUCGAAAACUUGAAGAUAGCAGCUGAAUCCCGAUGUGUGACCGAUAGCGAAACAGUACCGCGAGGGAAAGGUGAAAAGAACCCCAACAAGGGGAGUGAAAAAGAACAUGAAACCGCAAGCCCACAAGCAGUGGGAGGACGAUUAAACGUCUGACCGCGUGCCUGUUGAAGAAUGAGCCGGCGAGUUAUAAGCACUGGUAGGUUAAGUGGAUAGCACGAAGCCAAAGCGAAAGCGAGUCUGAAGAGGGCGCAAAUCAGUGUUUAUAGACCCGAACCCUGGUGAUCUAACCAUGACCAGGAUGAAGCUUGGGUAACACCAAGUGGAGGUCCGCACCGACCGAUGUUGAAAAAUCGGCGGAUGAGUUGUGGUUAGGGGUGAAAUGCCAAUCGAACCAGGAGCUAGCUGGUUCUCCCCGAAAUGUGUUGAGGCGCAGCGGUUGUGAUUAACUCGGGGGGUAAAGCACUAUUUCGGUGCGGGCUGCGAGAGCGGUACCAAAUCGAGAUAAACUCUGAAUACCCGAAGAAGACACAGCCAGUGAGACGGUGGGGGAUAAGCUUCAUCGUCAAGAGGGAAACAGCCCAGACCACCAGCUAAGGUCCCCAAAUCAUCGCUAAGUGGCAAAGGAGGUGGGAGUGCAUAGACAACCAGGAGGUUUGCCUAGAAGCAGCCACCCUUGAAAGAGUGCGUAAUAGCUCACUGGUCAAGCGCUCCUGCGCCGAAAAUGAAUGGGACUAAGCGAUGUACCGAAGCUGUGGGAUUACAUUGUAAUCGGUAGGGGAGCGUUCUAUAUGGGAAGAAGCACUAGCGGCAAGCAGGUGUGGACUGUAUAGAAGUGAGAAUGUCGGCUUGAGUAGCGCAAACAUUGGUGAGAAUCCAAUGCCCCGAAACCCCAAGGGUUCCAGAGCCAGGUUCGUCCACUCUGGGUUAGUCGGGACCUAAGGCGAGGUCGAACGGCGUAGUCGAUGGACACAGGGUCAACAAUCCCUGACUAAAGUAUGGGAGCAUUGCUAGGGACGCAUGAGUGGGGACUACACCCUGACUGGAUUGGGAGGAGUUUACGAACUCCGAGUAGUCGAAAUGAGUGCCAAGAAAAGCUAGUAAUGUGUUGAGCAUACUUUACCCGUACCCGAAACCGACACAGGUGGGGAGGUUGAGAAUACCAAGGGGCGCGAGAUAACUCUCUCUAAGGAACUCGGCAAAAUGGCCCCGUAACUUCGGAAGAAGGGGUGCCCACCUCAACAGGUGGGUCGCAGUGAAGAGAUCCAGGCGACUGUUUACCAAAAACACAGGUCUCCGCAAACUCGUAAGAGCAUGUAUGGGGGCUGACGCCUGCCCAGUGCCGGAAGGUUAAGGAAGUUGGUCAGGGGGCAACCCUAAAGCUGACGACCGAAGCCCCGGUGAACGGCGGCCGUAACUAUAACGGUCCUAAGGUAGCGAAAUUCCUUGUCGGGUAAGUUCCGACCCGCACGAAAGGCGUAACGAUCUGGAUGGUGUCUCGGAGAGAGACUCGGCGAAAUAGGAUUGUCUGUGAAGAUACGGACUACCUGCACCUGGACAGAAAGACCCUAUGAAGCUUUACUGUAACCUGGAAUGGUGUCCGGGCUGAGCUUGCGCAGGAUAGGUGGGAGGCGUUGAGGCAUUCCUUGUGGGGGAUGCGGAGCCAACGGUGAGAUACCACUCUAGUUCAGCUAGGAUUCUAACCCGCGACCGUCAUCCGGUCGGGAGACAGUUUCAGGCGGGCAGUUUGACUGGGGCGGUCGCCUCCUAAAAGAUAACGGAGGCGCGCAAAGGUUCCCUCAGCACGCUUGGAAACCGUGCGACGAGUGUAAAGGCAUAAAGGGAGCUUGACUGCAACACCAACAAGUGGAGCAGGUAGGAAACUAGGCCUUAGUGAUCCGACGGCGCAGCGUGGAAUGGCCGUCGCUCAACGGAUAAAAGUUACUCUAGGGAUAACAGGCUGAUCUCCCCCAAGAGUCCACAUCGACGGGGAGGUUUGGCACCUCGAUGUCGGCUCAUCGCAACCUGGGGCGGAAGUACGUCCCAAGGGUUGGGCUGUUCGCCCAUUAAAGCGGUACGUGAGCUGGGUUCAGAACGUCGUGAGACAGUUCGGUCCAUAUCCGGUGCAGGCGUAAGAGUAUUGAGAGGAGCCUUCCUUAGUACGAGAGGACCGGGAAGGACGCACCGCUGGUGUACCAGUUAUUGUGCCAACAGUAGACGCUGGGUAGCCAUGUGCGGAGCGGAUAACCGCUGAAAGCAUCUAAGUGGGAAGCCCACCUCAAGAUGAGUACUCUCACAGCACAAAGCUGGUAAGGUCACAGGUAGAACACCUGUUCAUAGGCUCUAAGUGGAAGUGUGGCAACAUAUGAAGCUGAGGAGUACUAACAGACCGAGGGCUUGACCUCA